rnacentral:misc_RNA from 1 species
GUGAAUCAUCAAAUUUUUGAACGCAAAUUGCACUUUCCGGUAUUCCGGAAAGUAUGCCUGUUUGAGGGUCAGUUAAAUUAAAAUCGGGGUUGUUGCUGCCCUUUGUUGUGAAGGGACGGAAUUUAGGUGUUUUAGCUUUGGUUAAGUGACUUAAAAUUUUGGAUGAUUUUCGUACGUACUUAAAUUGGUGACGUACGUUUGAGAUAUCGAAUGCUUAAUAGGUUCGGU